rnacentral:rRNA from 1 species
CGUAGGGUGCAGGCGUUAAUCGGAAUUACUGGGCGUAAAGCGUGCGCAGGCGGUUUGCUAAGACAGGUGUGAAAUCCCCGGGCUUAACCUGGGAACUGCGCUUGUAACUGGCAAGCUAGAGUGUGGCAGAGGGGGUGGAAUUCCACGUGUAGCAGUGAAAUGCGUAGAGAUGUGGAGGAACACCGAUGGCGAAGGCAGCCCCCUGGGCUAACACUGACGCUCAUGCACGAAAGCGUGGGGAGCAAACAGGAUUAGAUACCCUGGUAGUCCACGCCCUAAACUAUGUCAACUGGUUGUCGGGGAAGCAAUUCCUUGGUAACGAAGCUAACGCGUGAAGUUGACCGCCUGGGGAGUACGGCCGCAAGGUUA